rnacentral:rRNA from 1 species
AACGAACGCUGGCGGCAUGCCUAACACAUGCAAGUCGAACGAGACCUUCGGGUCUAGUGGCGCACGGGUGCGUAACGCGUGGGAACCUGCCCUUAGGUUCGGAAUAACUCCCCGAAAGGGGUGCUAAUACCGGAUAAUGUCUUCGGACCAAAGAUUUAUCGCCUUUGGAUGGGCCCGCGUUGGAUUAGCUAGUUGGUAGGGUAAAAGCCUACCAAGGUGACGAUCCAUAGCUGGUCUGAGAGGAUGAUCAGCCACACUGAGACUGAGACACGGCCCAGACUCCUACGGGAGGCAGCAGUGGGGAAUAUUGGACAAUGGGCGAAAGCCUGAUCCAGCAAUGCCGCGUGAGUGAUGAAGGCCUUAGGGUUGUAAAGCUCUUUUACCCGGGAUGAUAAUGACAGUACCGGGAGAAUAAGCUCCGGCUAACUCCGUG